rnacentral:tRNA from 2 species
GGAUGGUUGCCCGAACGGUAAGGGGUGCGGCUGUAACCCGCAAGCAUGCCAGACAUAGGUGGUUCAAUUCCAUCACCAUCCACCA